UACGGGGGGGGCAAGCGUUGUUCGGAAUUACUGGGCGUAAAGGGCUCGUAGGUGGCCAACUAAGUCAGACGUGAAAUCCCUCGGCUUAACCGGGGAACUGCAUCUGAUACUGGAUGGCUUGAGUUUGGGAGAGGGAUGUGGAAUUCCAGGUGUAGCGGUGAAAUGCGUAGAUAUCUGGAGGAACACCGGUGGCGAAGGCGGCAUCCUGGACCGGUAUUGACGCUGAGGCGCGAAAGCCAGGGGAGCAAACGGG
rnacentral:rRNA from 1 species